GCAUUGGUAAUUCAAUGGUAGAAUGCCCCCCUUUCAUGGGGGAGACCUGAGUUCGAGUCCCAGACAAUGCA